AGAAGCAGAGAACAGAGGAGCAGAGCUGUUGGAACAGCCUACAGGCGAGCAAAUGGGGAGAAAUGAAAAGACACCAGGCAGGCCCCAGCAAAAGAAAAGAAAUGUCUCCCAGGAGAGAGGCCAGAACCGUCUGGAGCUCGGGGAAGUUGUCCGCCACAGCCCCAGCCUGGCCGCCGCAGCAGGAAUCUCUAUGCAUGUGCCGAAGGUGGCACCAGGGGGUGCACACGGGGGAGGAGCCCUUCAUCUGCAGCACAUGCAGCAAGGCCUUCAGUCAGCACUCCAGCCUCACUGUGCACCAGGUGUGCACACAGCGUGAAGCCAUCCAUGUGCCCUGAGUGCAGCAAGACCUCAGCCACAGACAGCUCUUGCCUCCUGAUGCACCAGAGGAGCCACACAGGCAAGAGGCCCUGUGAGUGCUCUGAAUGCGGCAAGGCUUUCACCCGCAGCUCUGACCUCCUGGUGCCCCAGGGGACGCACGGUGGGGAGAAACCCCAUCGCUGCACCCAGUGCUCAGUGUGGGAAGGCCUUUGGCCAGAGCUCCCACCUCAUCUUUCACCAGACCACUCAUGCCUGGAGGAAACACCAGCUGGUUUUCCUGAGCAGAUCCUAGUG
rnacentral:lncRNA from 1 species